rnacentral:rRNA from 1 species
GAUGAACGCUGGCGGCGUGCCUAAUACAUGCAAGUCGAGCGAACGGACGAGAAGCUUGCUUCUCUGAUGUUAGCGGCGGACGGGUGAGUAACACGUGGAUAACCUACCUAUAAGACUGGGAUAACUUCGGGAAACCGGAGCUAAUACCGGAUAAUAUUUUGAACCGCAUGGUUCAAAAGUGAAAGACGGUCUUGCUGUCACUUAUAGAUGGAUCCGCGCUGCAUUAGCUAGUUGGUAAGGUAACGGAUUACCAAGGCAACGAUGCAUAGCCGACCUGAGAGGGUGAUCGGCCACACUGGAACUGAGACACGGUCCAGACUCCUACGGGAGGCAGCAGUAGGGAAUCUUCCGCAAUGGGCGAAAGCCUGACGGAGCAACGCCGCGUGAUUGAUGAAGGUCUUCGGAUCGUAAAACUCUGUUAUUAGGGAAGAACAUAUGUGUAAGUAACUGUGCACAUCGUGACGGUACCUAAUCAGAAAGCCACGGCUAACUACGUG